GUAAAGACAAAGAUAAAAAGAGCGCAUUAUGAUUGAUUUUCAGAGAGAUAAGGGUUGGUGUGACUUAUUAUUCAUAGUAAUUGCAGACAUUUUUGAGUCGAAUUUUCCGCUUAAUAGCGUUAUAAAUUAAAGUGAGGUUUACCUAAUUAGGGUGGUACCGCGAUUUAUCUCGUCCCUUAU
rnacentral:ncRNA from 1 species